GGAAAACAUUUGAAAACUUCCUUUAAAGAUGCUCACUAUUUUUUAUUAAGUCUUUUAUGACUCUUUUUUCAAAGAUUAGAUAAACAUAACCCUGGAGUCUCUACAGGAGACAUUUCCCUUUUUUCUUAUCACAAUCAGGGCUUUGUUUCUCGUGCUGCAAAAUGGGUUAUUACUAGAACCAUUAAUCUGGAUUUCUGUUGCUGGUGGUUUUUCAGUUCCAGGUUCCAUCUGAAGUCCCAAUAUUUGGGAAAUCCAUUGGAGGAGCUGGCGGACCUGUUCAGAGUGUUGUAAAUUAGUUCCAGUCUCCACGAGCCUGCUGUGACUAAUUGAUGUGACCUGGAAGUGGAUAAAGUCCAUAACAGUGCCUUUAUUUAUUAAUGCCAGAAGAAGGGAAAGAUUCAAGAGCACCAACAAAAACAGAAUUCCUGGCAACAGCUGUAUAUCAAAGCCAUUCUUUAUCCAGUUACCUUGCUGUUUUCCUCCUCCUGCACUGUGGAGAUGUGCAGGAAGGCUGGUGGUUUGCAGAGUCGCUCCAGCUCAUUUAUUUCCUACAGCCACAGGGAAAUCAGGAAAUCUCAGUGUUGUGUGGGCUUCUGCUCUUGCAGAAGGGGCUGCUGGAAUGGGAUCUGUGCAGUGGAAGCUCCUGGAAACUCCACGUUGCUGCCUAAUGAAUUUUUUAAGAAGAAUUUUAGGCAGCCACUCUAAGCACUGUACUGAUUGUAAGUAAAUCCGUGCUGCUUUCUGGAUGGGAAGGGAUUUAAGGAAUUUCUCUGCUCCCAGCCCCUUCCAAGCCCUCAUCCCAUUCAUCCUUUCUCCACCAACUCUGUCAUGCUCCAAAAUAGUCUCCCCAUGACUAUAAAC
rnacentral:lncRNA from 1 species